GUAGGGAAUAUUGGACAAUGGGCGAAAGCCUGAUCCAGCAAUGCCGCGUGUGUGAAGAAGGCCUGCGGGUUGUAAAGCACUUUCAGUUGGGAAGAAAAGCACUUGACUAAUAAUCAAAGGUUUUGACGUUACCAAGAGAAGAAGCACCGGCUAACUCUGUGCCAGCAGCCGCGGUAAUACAGAGGGUGCAAGCGUUAAUCGGAAUUACUGGGCGUAAAGCGUGCGUAGGUGGCUAAAUAAGUCAGAUGUGAAAGCCCAAGGCUUAACCUUGGAAUUGCAUUUGAUACUGUUUAGCUAGAGUACAGUAAAGGAAAGCGGAAUUCCUAGUGUAGCGGUGAAAUGCGUAGAUAUUAGGAGGAACAUCAGUGGCGAAGGCGGCUUUCUAGACUGAUACUGACACUGAGGUACGAAAGCGUGGGGAGCAAACAGGAUUAGAAACCCGUGUAGUCC
rnacentral:rRNA from 1 species